rnacentral:rRNA from 1 species
UACGUAGGAUCCAAGCGUUGUCCGGAUUUACUGGGCGUAAAGGGCGCGUAGGCGGUUUGUUAAGUCGGCUGUGAAAGCCCGGGGCUCAACCCCGGAGGGUCAGCCGAUACUGGCAGGCUAGAGUACAGAAGAGGUAACUGGAAUUCCCGGUGUAGCGGUGAAAUGCGUAGAUAUCGGGAGGAAUACCAGUGGCGAAGGCGGCUUCCUGGCCUGUUCUUGACGCUGAGGCGCGAAAGCUAGGGUAGCAAACGGG